rnacentral:rRNA from 1 species
GAUGAACGCUGGCGGCGUGCCUAAUACAUGCAAGUCGAGCGAACAGACGAGGAGCUUGCUCCUCUGACGUUAGCGGCGGACGGGUGAGUAACACGUGGAUCACCUACCUAUAUGUCUGGGAUAAUUUCGGGACACCGGAGCUAAUACCGGAUAAUAUAUUGAACCGCAUGGUUCAAUAGUGAAAGACGGUUUUGCUGUCACUUAUAGAUGGAUCCGCGCCGCAUUAGCUAGUUGGUAAGGUAACGGCUUACCAAGGCAACGCUGCGUACCCGACCUGGGGGGGGGCUGGGCCACCGGGAACCUGAAACACGGCCAAGACCCUAAGGGAGGGCAGAGUAGGGAAAUUUUCGGAAAUGGGGGAAAGCUUGACGGAGGAACGCGGGGUGGGUGAGGAAGGCCUGCGGGCGGGAAAACUCUGUUAUGGGGAAGAACAAAUGUGUAAGUAACUAUGCACGUCUUGACGGUACCUAAUCAGAAAGCCACGGCUAACUACGUG